UACGUAGGGUGCAAGCGUUGUCCGGAAUUAUUGGGCGUAAAGAGCUCGUAGGCGGUCUGUCGCGUCGAAUGUGAAAAUCCGGGGCUCAACCCCGGACCUGCAUUCGAUACGGGCAGACUAGGGUUCGGUAGGGGAGUCUGGAAUUCCUGGUGUAGCGGUGAAAUGCGCAGAUAAUCAGGAGGAACACCGAUGGCGAAGGCAGGUCUCUGGGCAUUAACUGACGCUGAGGAGCGAAAGCAUGGGGAGCGAACAGG
rnacentral:rRNA from 1 species